rnacentral:lncRNA from 1 species
GAGCGAGGAAACAGGGCCAGAGAAUUGGAACAAAAUACAAGGCUGCCUCUGAAAGUAAUUUGCAAGCAGAUGGAACUUCAAUAUGGCAAUAGAGAAAGAAUCAAUUAGACCAGAGUCUCCUCAGGAAGACUUUCUAUAGGUGGACGGUCCCCUGGAGAGCCCGCUGUGUUGGAAGAUGUAGAAUAUUCAUAUAUCUGGUGAGCAUCUGCUAGAUGCCAGGGUUGGGGAGAGUCAAGUUGAAGCAAGCAUGAACCCUCAAGGACCUACCAUUUCAAGGCAAGAAAUAGAUACAAAUACAGGGGUACAAGCUGGAAAAGGGGAAAAUGAAUCAUGCUACAGGCCAAGUGUCCAUCACUGAUUCCCAGAGAUGCCCUUUGUGUGGUAGGCACUUCCAUGUGGACUCGCUACAGAGUUUGGAGUUCCUGAACAACAUGGACAGUGUUAAUUUGGAUUCCAUGCUUCAUGGCACAGAAUUGGAGCACUAACUACUCAGUGAUGACUUUCUCUUCCUCUAGCUAAGGUGAUCAACAAGUUUCCUUGUUCUUUCUCCAAGUAGUAGAAGAAAGUAAAGGUCAUAAGACCCUAAUUCCAGAGGGCCCUACCCUAUAACCAGAAGGAAGAACUAUUGCACAGAGAAUCUAAGAAGAAUCUAGACAGACAGCCCUUGCUGGAUUUCUCCACUCUGUUAGCAUUCGAUCAUUUGCCUUUUGUCCAGUCAUAUUUCUGCAUGGCUGUCCAUACUUUGUUGAACCUAAGCACAAAAUGGAAAGUUUUCCCUGUAUCUUUGGGUCGUCAUUCUGAAGGCUCCCAUGUUAUGUAAAACUAUGAUCAAAUAAAUAUGCAUGCCUUUUCUCCUAUAA